UACGGAGGGGGCAAGCGUUGUUCGGAAUUACUGGGCGUAAAGGGCUUGUAGGUGGCCAACUAAGUCAGACGUGAAAUCCCUCGGCUUAACCGGGGAACUGCGUCUGAUACUGGAUGGCUAGAGUGUGGGAGAGGGAUGCGGAAUUCCAGGUGUAGCGGUGAAAUGCGUAGAUAUCUGGAGGAACACCGGUGGCGAAGGCGGCAUCCUGGACCACGACUGACACUGAAAAGCGAAAGCCAGGGGAGCAAACGGG
rnacentral:rRNA from 1 species